rnacentral:rRNA from 1 species
UACGGGGGGGGGCAAGCGUUGUUCGGAAUUACUGGGCGUAAAGGGCGCGUAGGCGGCCUGCUAAGUCGGAUGUGAAAUCCCCUCGGCUCAACCGAGGAACUGCAUCCGAUACUGGCGGGCUUGAAUCCGGGAGAGGGAUGUGGAAUUCCAGGUGUAGCGGUGAAAUGCGUAGAUAUUGGGAAGAACACCGGUGGCGAAGGCGGCCAUCUGGACCGGUACUGACGCUGAGGCGCGAAAGCCAGGGGAGCGAACAGG